AGCUGUAACAAUAACAAAAAUAAGGAGAUUGGCUGUUUGCUGCUUUGUUCUGUGGUGUCAGCUGCUGCAUGAGAUCCCAGAGGUGAGGAGAAGGUUGUGGACCUCAUGCAUGCACUGAAUGUAUCCUGUGCUGUACCUCUGCUGAGCUUCAAGGCCCACUUUGGAGUCAGCUGCGUUGAACAGGAGACAACUGGAGUUGGUUUUUUCCAAUCAAUCGGGAGAAGUGGCUGCAUGACUUCUAGCCAGAUUUUGCUUUGCUGGUGGAGAAGAGAAGUCACCUCCCCUGCUCCUAAAGCACACCCCCACCAGCAACACCUCACACAGAAGAGGCACUGUCCUACAGCGACCAUCCCAUGGUUGCCCAAGGCCAUCUCUGUUCCUGGCUCAGCUGGGCAUUGCAGAGGUGUCUGAGAAUGCAGUACUGUCUAAAGGAUCUGAAACACACCAAAAGAGGUACCCAACCCCAGCCCCAGCCCAUGCCCGUUCCUCCCUUGGGCAGCAGGUUCAGGGCUCUAGGAAGCCCCCUGCUCACGGAGCCUCACUGGUUUCUGCUGGCAAUGAGUUCAUUUCAAGGUUCAUUUGUAAGACAGCAUCUCCGUGAAAAAGAAGAGCAGCUUUUGCUGUAAACAGUUAUUUUACACCUCUCA